rnacentral:ncRNA from 1 species
UAUAAAAAAUUCGGACCGUAAACUGACACUAGUAAAUAUAUAUAAAUUAUUAAGAAGUUGAGAUAAUUUUUUUUAAGGAACUCGGCAAAUUUAUCUCGUAACUUAGGGAGAAGAGAUACUUAUUUAGUUGAAAACAAAAAAUUUAAGCGACUGUUUAACAAAAACACAAAUCUUUGCUAAAUCGAAAGAUGAUGUAUAAAGAUUGACAUCUGCCCAGUGCUAUUAUGUAAAAAUAAUAUUUAUAAUUUAAAAUUAUAAAAUAUAUAUAAGCUAUAGUAAACGGCGGCUGUAUCUAUAACGGUCCAAAGGUAGCGAAAUUCCUUGUCGGGUAAGUUCCGACCUGCAUGAAAGAUGUAACGACUUAAAUGCUGUCUUAAAAAAAAUCUUAAUGAAAUAAAAUUAUCUGUGAAGAUGCAGAUUUCUUAUAUUAGGACAGAAAGACCCUAUGAAGCUUUACUAUUAAUAGAUAUUGAAAAUAUAUAUGUAUAACAUAGAAUAAAUGGGAAGUAGAGAUAUUAUUUUUUUGGAAAUAAUGUAAUUAUCAAUGAAAUACCAUUUUAUAUAUAUAUAAAUUCUUAUAAAAUUUUUAUAACAAAAUUUUUAACAAUAUUUAUAAGAUAGUUUGACUGGGGCGGUCUCCUCCUAUAUAGAAACGGAGGUGUACAAUGUUAUAUUUAUUAUAUAAAGAUAAAUAUAUAAUUAACUGUAAAAUUUACAAAUUAAACAGAGAUUAACGUCGGUCUUAAUGAUCCGAUAAUUAUUUAAUAAUAAAAUUAUCGCUUAACGGAUAAAAGUUACUCUAGGGAUAACAGGCUAAUCUUUUCCGAGAGUCCAUAUUGACGAAAAGGUUUGGCACCUCGAUGUCGGCUUAUCGCAUCCUAAGGCAGUAGUAUGUUUUAAGGGUAAGUCUGUUCGCCUAUUAAAGCGAUACGUGAGCUGGGUUCAGAACGUCGUGAGACAGUUCGGUCCAUAUCUAAUAUAAGUGUUAGAAUAUUGAAAUUAUUUUUUCUAGUACGAGAGGAUCGAAAAAAUUAUACCAAUGAUAUAUCAAUUAUUAUAUAUUGUAAUGUUGAGUAGUUAAGUAUAAAAUUUUAAUUGUUGAAGUAAUAUAAAUAAGAAAAUUUAAUUAAAAAUAAUAUUCUAAUCAUAUAAAUGAAUAAAACAAUAAUUAGAAAAAUUAUUUUAUAGAAUUAAUAUGUAUUUAUAGUAAUAUAUUUAGUAUAUAAUUCCUAAUAAGUUGAAUAUUUAAUUAU